UUGGUGUGUAUGGAAGAGAUCACUAGGAU
rnacentral:piRNA from 1 species